GAGUUUGAUCAUGGCUCAGGACGAACGCUGGCGGCGUGCCUAACACAUGCAAGUCGAGCGGAGUCUGCGAGAGGAAGUUUUCGGAUGGAAUUUUGCAGAUUUAGCGGCGGACGGGUGAGUAACGCGUGAGCGACCAACCUUGCACGGGGGGAUAACGGACCGAAAGGUUCACUAAUACCGCAUGAGACCACGGUGUUGCAUGACACAGGGGUCAAAGGAGGAAUCCGGUGCAAGACGGGCUCGCGUCCGAUUAGGUAGUUGGUGCGGUAACGGCGCACCAAGCCUGUGAUCGGUAGCCGACCUGAGAGGGUGAUCGGCCACAUUGGAACUGAGAGACGGUCCAAACUCCUACGGGAGGCAGCAGUGGGGAAUAUUGGGCAAUGGGGGGAACCCUGACCCAGCAACGCCGCGUGAAGGAAGAAGGUUUUCGGAUUGUAAACUUCUGUCCUUGGUGAAGAGGAAGAGACGGUAGCCAAGGAGGAAGCCCCGGCUAACUACGUGCCAGCAGCCGCGGUAC
rnacentral:rRNA from 1 species